rnacentral:rRNA from 1 species
AGGACAUUAUUGAAAACAAGGGUGUCCAAUUUAACUUGGAACCCGACCUUCUCAAUUCUAACUUUGUGCAUCUGUAUAAUGGCGAGCAGUCUUCGGAUUGUGAGCCUUCACUUAUAAACACUAGUCUAUGAAUGUAAUUUUUUUAUAACAAAUAAAAACUUUCAACAACGGAUCUCUUGGCUCUCGCAUCGAUGAAGAACGCAGCGAAAUGCGAUACGUAAUGUGAAUUGCAGAAUUCAGUGAAUCAUCGAAUCUUUGAACGCAUCUUGCGCUCUCUGGUAUUCCGGAGAGCAUGUCUGUUUGAGUGUCAUGAAUUCUUCAACCCAAUCUUUUCUUGUAAUUGAUUGGUGUUUGGAUUCUGAGCGUUGCUGGCUUCGGCCUAGCUCGUUCGUAAUACAUUAGCAUCCCUAAUACAAGUUUGGAUUGACUUGGCGUAAUAGACUAUUCGCUAAGGAUUCGAUGGAAACAUCGAGCCAACUUCAUUAAGGAAGCUCCUAAUUUAAAAGUCUACCUUUUGAUUAGAUCUCAAAUCAGGCAGGAUUACCCGCUGAACUUAAGCAUAUCAAUAAGCGGAGGAAAAGAAACUAACAAGGAUUCCCCUAGUAGCGGCGAGCGAAGCGGGAAAAGCUCAAAUUUGUAAUCUGGCGUCUUCGACGUCCGAGUUGUAAUCUCGAGAAGUGUUUUCCGGUGAUAGACGCAUACAAGUCUCUUGGAACAGAGCGUCAUAGUGGUGAGAACCCAGACACGAUGCGGAUGCCUAUUACUUUGCGAUACACUUUCGAAGAGUCGAGUUGUUUGGGAAUGCAGCUCAAAUUGGGUGGUAAAUUCCAUCUAAAGCUAAAUAUUGGCGAGAGACCGAUAGCGAACAAGUACCGUGAGGGAAAGAUGAAAAGCACUUUGGAAAGAGAGUUAACAGUACGUGAAAUUGUUGGAAGGGAAACACAUGCAGUGAUACUUGCUAUUCGGGGCAACUCGAUUGGCAGGCCCGCAUCAGUUUUUCGGGGCGGAAAAGCAUGGAUUGAAGGUAGCAGUCUCGGCUGUGUUAUAGCUUUCCAUUGGAUUCGCCCUGGGGGACUGAGGAACGCAGCGUGCUUUUUGCAUGAGCUUCGGCUUAUCCACGCUUAGGAUGCGGGUUUAUGGCUGUAUAUGUUGAGGUU